rnacentral:rRNA from 1 species
UUCUGGCUCAGGAUGAACGCUAGCGUACAGGCUUAACACAUGCAAGUCGAGGGGCAGCAGAUCGAAAGCUUGCUUUGAUGCUGGCGACCGGCGCACGGGUGAGUAACGCGUAUCCAACCUUCCCUAUAGUAGAGAAUAGCCCGGCGAAAGUCGGAUUAAUGCUCUAUGUUGUAUUUAGAAGACAUCUGAAGAAUACCAAAGGUUUACCGCUAUAGGAUGGGGAUGCGUCUGAUUAGGUUGUUGGCGGGGUAACGGCCCACCAAGCCCACGAUCAGUAGGGGUUCUGAGAGGAAGGUCCCCCACAUUGGAACUGAGACACGGUCCAAACUCCUACGGGAGGCAGCAGUGAGGAAUAUUGGUCAAUGGACGAAAGUCUGAACCAGCCAAGUAGCCGUGCAGGAUGACGGCCCUAUGGGUUGUAAACUGCUUUUAUACAGGGAUAAAGUGAGGGACGUGUCCCUUUUUGUAGGUACUGUAUGAAUAAGGACCGGCUAAUUCCGUGCCAGCCGCCGC